rnacentral:rRNA from 1 species
UACGUAGGGUGCGAGCGUUGUCCGGAAUUAUUGGGCGUAAAGGGCUCGUAGGCGGCUUGUCGCGUCGGAUGUGAAAGCCCGGGGCUUAACUCCGGGUCUGCAUUCGAUACGGGCAGGCUAGAGUUCGGUAGGGGAGAUCGGAAUUCCUGGUGUAGCGGUGAAAUGCGCAGAUAUCAGGAGGAACACCGGUGGCGAAGGCGGAUCUCUGGGCCGAUACUGACGCUGAGGAGCGAAAGCGUGGGGAUCAAACAGG